rnacentral:rRNA from 1 species
CAGUGGGGAAUAUUGCACAAUGGGCGCAAGCCUGAUGCAGCAACGCCGCGUGGGGGAUGAAGGCCUUCGGGUUGUAAACCUCUUUUAGUAGGGAAGAAGCCUUUUUGGUGACGGUACCUGCAGAAAAAGGACCGGCUAACUACGUGCCAGCAGCCGCGGUAAUACGUAGGGUCCGAGCGUUGUCCGGAAUUAUUGGGCGUAAAGAGCUCGUAGGCGGUUUGUCGCGUCUGCUGUGAAAUCCCGGGGCUCAACUCCGGGCGUGCAGUGGGUACGGGCAAGCUAGAGUGCGGUAGGGGAGAAUGGAACUCCUGGUGUAGCGGUGGAAUGCGCAGAUAUCAGGAAGAACACCGAUGGCGAAGGCAGUUCUCUGGGCCGUAACUGACGCUGAGGAGCGAAAGCGUGGGGAGCGAACAGGAUUAGA